UCUCCGUUGGUGAACCAGCGGAGGGAUCAUUAAAGAGUUGCAAAACUCCAACCCCUGUGAACCUUACCUGUACGUUGCUUCGGCGGCCGACGCCACGCCCAGCCGGGCCUGGGGGACGCCGCCGGAGGGUCUCCAAACUCUUGUUUUUUUAGGCAUCUCUGAGUAGCUUAUAAAUAAGUUAAAACUUUCAACAACGGAUCUCUUGGUUCUG
rnacentral:misc_RNA from 1 species